UACGGGGGGGGCAAGCGUUGUUCGGAAUUACUGGGCGUAAAGGGCUCGUAGGUGGCCAACUAAGUCAGACGUGAAAUCCCUCGGCUUAACCGGGGAACUGCGUCUGAUACUGGAUGGCUUGAGUUCGGGAGAGGGAUGCGGAAUUCCAGGUGUAGCGGUGAAAUGCGUAGAUAUCGGGAGGAACACCGGUGGCGAAGGCGGCGACCUGGGUAGAUACUGACGCUGAGGUGCGAAAGCGUGGGGAGCAAACAGG
rnacentral:rRNA from 1 species